GAUCCUGGCUCAGGACGAACGCUGGCGGCGUGCCUAAUACAUGCAAGUAGGACGCACAGUUUAUACCGUAGCUUGCUACACCAUAGACUGUGAGUUGCGAACGGGUGAGUAACGCGUAGGUAACCUGCCUAUUAGAGGGGGGAUAACUAUUGGAAACGAUAGCUAAUACCGCAUAACAGUAUGUAACACAUGUUAGAUGCUUGAAAGAUGCAAUUGCAU
rnacentral:rRNA from 1 species